CUUUGGGCAGUGCACCAACCGUACCACUGUACGCGGCAGCCCUGCUUCGGAUCCCCAAUCCAGUGGCCUUGAAUAUUCAGUGGUGUGAUCUCUUGCUAGCCAUGCAGUUAUGUUCCUGAUAAACAGCCAGGCCGCUAAACUGCAGCUGGAAAGACAAAGUCACAAUGAGAACCGAAUGGCGUGGAGUGAACGUCGCUCAAGCCACGUGUGUGUUAAGAAGCCGCCCCUGACCCUUCCUGCUUCACCAUGGCCCCCGGCCCACGCCUUUCCCUUCCUGCCUCUCAGCUCAGCUCCUGCCCCCUUCUCUCUGCCUUCUUUUCCUGCGACACGUGGGGCCGUCGGGUUCAGACUGGAGGCUCCUGAGUUGGAAGCUGGCCCGCCGGCCAUGGGCCUCCCUGGUGAUUUCGGGCGAAUGGCUUAACUGUGAGUUGGCAUCCAUGCCUUACCCGCAAAAUGGGAAGUGUGAUGGCCCCUGCUUCAAAGAACGGCCUCAGGAGCAAAGGGGGGCAUGAAGGCCAAGUGGUGAUAAAAGUGCCCAGCACGUAGUAAACGCUCAAUUAAAUUAAACGGUAAUGACUGUGUUUAUGGCCCUUCUUGUUUUUUUACGACAGGCAACAUCCAGUUUAGGGUCCUUGGCGCACAGUGACAUUGUCCUUUGAUUGGUCUCGAAGGGAAAAUACCUACAAACAUAAGGAGCACGUGCAAGGAAUGUGUGUGUCUCUUGCCAAAAAUUUCAACAAUGGAGAAAUGCAGAAAAGUGAAAAAAUCGUGGCGUCCUGCCUCCUCGUUUUUCCAACCAGAGGAAAGUGAUGCCAGUGGUUGGCUCGGCAUCCCUCCUGGGCAGGUGCAUGUGUGAAUGUGUGUGUGGGGGCGGGUGUUGUGAGUGUGUGUGCUUUUUACAGCAGAACUGUGCUGAAUGCAUCGCCUGUGUGGUGCGGUGUCUAGACCUGGCGUAGGGAGCAUUUUUAUGGUUUUGUCGCAGCCGUGUGGACCCGAAGGCGACCUGGUGGUCCAACCCUGUGCCUGGGAUUCCUGCCCGCAGGACAUCCGAACCGGGGCUUGGUUUCUUGGUUGUCCCGCGUGGGGAUGGCUUUUCUGUUACGGAGCGAGUGGGAAGGUAGCGUGUGCAUGAGUUUCCCUGCACGGUCGCCGCAGCGGGAAGGUUCUCGGCCAAGGAGGGGGCUUCUGCUGCUUUGGGCAAAGUCCCCAGGGGGAGGACUCUGGGCUGGACCCAGAGGAAUUGUGUCUUGGUCUCAGCUUUCCCUUUAGGGCCGUUUGCUGGAGCGAUUCUGGCGGAGACUAAUUCUGAGAAAAAAAGAGCUUCUGAAUCAGUAUAGAAACAGUUAUUUUGCAAAAGGGCAAAGUUGGAAAAAAAAUUGUCUUAAAGAGCAUUACAGUUAUAGAAAUGUGUCGCCUAAAAUACUUUGUAACGGUUUGUGGGAAUGUUCUGAGCCGCAUUAUGAAAGGAGAGUUUUCGAGGGCAAUCUAAAAACCAACGCCGAGCCCUAAGCACUUGCCCGACCCGCCCUGGCGAUGUCACAACACACGGCUCACAGGGCCACCCAGCUGCUGGACCCAAGGGACCCGGCUGCAGCCCUCCAGCCUCCUGUUAGGAGGGACGAAGAGAGGAUUUGUUCUGGGAGCAGCUGACACCCCUGCCUGCCCGCCCUGGCCCCAGCAUAUGCGCUGAAAAGCUGGACGCUUAAAGGAAAGUUUUGCACUUUGAUUAAAAAGGAAAAAAAAAAAAAAGGUCCAGCCACCACUUCCUCAAUUGUCACAGCUCUUUCACCACUGGGAAUGAUGAAGGUUAGGUAAAAAUAGACACAGUCAUGAUUUGUUACUUAGCAAGGCAUCCAGGGCCAUGUUCAAGUGCACUCCCUGCAUGCACACUUUGUCUUCUGGCCGCCGUAAGCGGAUUCUAGCAAUGGGAACCCUCGGCUUCUUCUAUGUGGCUCGAUCCUCCUCAGCCAAGAGCCCACUCAGCUCUCCUCCCAGGCCUUCCCCCCCUGGAAGGAUGGAGACUGAGCUGCAAACGCCUCAUCUCUGGAUGUGCUAUAAACCUGAUUCGAUUUGAUCCUCCCGACUGGUCCUCAAGGGCGGGUACCAGCCUUACCAUCACCAUCGGCGCCUCCGCCGUCCUCACUCUCAUCACCAUGGUAACCAUCACCAGCACCCAUCACGCCCAGCAAGCUGCCCAGGCUUAGUGUACUUGGCCGAAUAGUGACCCCCGCAAGAUGUCCCCGUUCUCACCCCCAGAAUGUGUGAUCUCACAUGGCAAGAGGGAUUUUGCCGAUGUGAUUAAAGGCUUAGAGGUGAGGAGAUUAAUCUGGAUUAUCCAGGUGGCUCAAUGUAACCACAGAGGU
rnacentral:lncRNA from 9 species